AACGAACGCUGGCGGCAGGCCUAACACAUGCAAGUCGAACGGGAUCUUCGGAUCUAGUGGCGGACGGGUGAGUAACGCGUGGGAACGUGCCCUUUGGUUCGGAAUAGCCCUGGGAAACUGGGAGUAAUACCGGAUACGGUCGCGAGACGAAAGAUUUAUCGCCGAAGGAUCGGCCCGCGUUGGAUUAGGUAGUUGGUGGGGUAACGGCCUACCAAGGCGACGAUCCAUAGCUGGUCUGAGAGGAUGAUCAGCCACAUUGGGACUGAGACACGGCGCAAAAUCCUACGGGAGGCAGCAGUGGCGAAUAUUGGACAAUGGGCGCAAGCCUGAUCCAGCCAUGCCGCGUGAGUGAUGAAGGCCUUAGGGUUGUAAAGCUCUUUCACCGGAGAAGAUAAUGACGGUAUCCGGAGAAGAAGCCCCGGCUAACUUCGUGCCAGCCGCCGCCGUAAAAC
rnacentral:rRNA from 1 species